rnacentral:rRNA from 1 species
UCACCUCUUCCCAUACCGAACAGAGAAGUUAAGCCCCUUAUGGCCGAUGGUACUGCACUACAAUGCGGGAGAGUAGGUAGCUGCCAUAU